ACUGUUGAAUCACAGAUCUGUACCUCUGAAACAAAUAAUACAUUAUAUGUUAAAAAAAAAAAAAAGAAGAAGAUAGCAGGAGGGGAAGAAUGAAGGGGGGAAAUCAGAGGGGGGAUGAAACAUGAGUGAAUCCUCAGAGAUAUAAGUGAUAUAGAAUUAAUUUGUUCUUUACCUCUAAAAAUGCUAGUCCAGACUUUCUGGCACCAAUUCCUUAAGUUUGAAAUAACAUGUAAUAAAAAUACCUGCACUGUGUUCACUUUGUAAAGUGUCUUUGUUUUAAUUUUAGAAUCCAGUGCAGGAAAGGGGCAAGAAGUAGUGACAAGAGCUGGCAAAUGGAGGAAAGGGAUGCCAAACCCAUGGCAGACCUUUAGCAAAGAGAGGAGCAUCUUGAGGCUGUGGAUUCUACUGAUGUUUCUGGGCCUUGGUGCUUCUCAGAUGGUGUUUUGAAAAGGAAGAAACUGCAUGGGUAUUUUGUUGAUCUACCUAAGUUCAGGACUAAGCUUCAGUGAUAACCUCCCAGAGGGGCUGAUGAUCUCAGGUGGCACUUCUACUUGAUGCCCCAAAACAUCAAGACCCACGACAGGAUGGAUAUUGGGACCACAAAUUAUGAGUAGUAUGCCAAUGUUACUGUUGCCCAACCUAAAUCUCACAAGAGACAAAGGAAAAUAACAGCACCAGGCUGAGAGAAAAACAUCAAACUCCAUUUGAAGGACAUUGUGGAAAAUACCUGACCAGUACCUCUUCAAAUACCUGAGUGCCUUAAAACUGUCAAUGUCACCAAAAACAAGGAAAGUGAGAUACUGCCAUAGUCAAGAGGAACCUAAGGAGCCAUGAUGACCAAAUGGGAUUCUGGAACAGUAAAAGGACAUCUAGUAAACACUAAGAAAUCCAAAUGAAGUAUGAACUUUGGUUAAUGAUGUAUCAGUAUUGAUCCAUCAGUCAUAACGUAUGUACCAUACUAAUGUAAGAUGUUAAUAAA